rnacentral:rRNA from 1 species
UGGGGAAUAUUGGACAAUGGGGGGAACCCUGAUCCAGCAAUGCCGCGUGAAGGAUGAAGUAUUUCGGUAUGUAAACUUCGAAAGAAUAGGAAGAAUAAAUGACGGUACUAUUUAUAAGGUCCGGCUAACUACGUGCCAGCAGCCGCGGUAAUACGUAGGGACCAAGCGUUGUUCGGAUUUACUGGGCGUAAAGGGCGCGUAGGCGGCAAUUCAAGUCAUCUGUGAAAUCUCCGGGCUUAACUCGGAACGGUCAGAUGAUACUGCUUUGCUAGAGUGCAGAAGGGGCAAUCGGAAUUCUUGGUGUAGCGGUGAAAUGCGUAGAUAUCAAGAGGAACACCUGAGGCGAAGGCGGGUUGCUGGGCUGAUACUGACGCUGAGGCGCGAAAGCUAGGGUAGCAAACGGGAUUAGAUACCCCAGUAGUCCCUGAGCGGGCUGGCAAGGCGCAU